AUUGAACGCUGGCGGCAUGCCUUACACAUGCAAGUCGAACGGCAGCACGGGAGCAAUCCUGGUGGCGAGUGGCGAACGGGUGAGUAAUAUAUCGGAACGUGCCCAGUCGUGGGGAUAACGUAGCGAAAGCUACGCUAAUACCGCAUACGAUCUAUGGAUGAAAGCGGGGGAUCGCAAGACCUCGCGCGAUUGGAGCGGCCGAUAUCAGAUUAGGUAGUUGGUGAGGUAAAGGCUCACCCAAGCCGACGAUCUGUAGCUGGUCUGAGAGGAUGAUCAGCCACACUGGAACUGAGACACGGUCCAGACUCCUACGGGAGGCAGCAGUGGGGAAUAUUUGGACAAUGGGCGAAAGCCUGAUCCAGCCAUGCCGCGUGU
rnacentral:rRNA from 1 species